rnacentral:rRNA from 1 species
GACGAACGCUGGCGGCGUGCUUAACACAUGCCAGUCGAACGGAAAGGCCCUGCUUUUGCGGGGUGCUCGCGUGGCGAACGGGUGAGUAACCCGUGAGUAACCUGCCCUUGACCUUGGAAUAACCUCAGGAAACUGGGGCUAAUACCGGAUUGGUGCUCCUGCUGCAUGGUGGGGGUUGGAAAGCUUCGGCGCAUGGGGAUGGACGGGCGGCUUAUCAGCUAGUUGGUGGGGUAGUGGCUUACCCAGCCUUUCACGGAUAGCCGGCCUGAGAGGGUGAACGGGAUCAGUGGGACUGAGAGACGGAGCAGUCUGCAACGGAAGACAGCAGUGGGAAAUAUUACACAAUGAGGGCAAGCGUGAUACAGAGACCCCGGGUGCGGGAUGACGGCCUUCUGGUAAUAAAGCGCAUUAACAUGAGACGGUGCGUGAGUGACGUUAAUGGGUAAAUAAGCACCGGCUAACUACGUG